CCCUAAAUCUUGAUACUUACCCUACCGAAGUAUCCGCCUGAGAACUACGAGCACAAACGCUUAAAACUCUAAGGACUUGGCGGUGCUCCAAACCCACCUAGAGGAGCCUGUUCUAUAAUCGAUAACCCACGAUAAACCCAACCGCUCUUUGCCAAAGCAGCCUACAUACCGCCGUCGCCAGCUCACCUUCCCUGAAAGAACAANNGUGAGCACAAUAGCCCACAGUACCGCUAACAAGACAGGUCAAGGUAUAGCCCAUAGAGCGGAAGAAAUGGGCUACAUUUUCUAGAAUAGAAAAUUUACGAAAAGGGGCAUGAAACUACCCCUAGAAGGCGGAUUUAGCAGUAAAGAGGGAUAAUAAGNGCCCUC
rnacentral:rRNA from 1 species